GUGGGGAAUAUUCCGCAAUGGACGAAAGUCUGACGGAGCAACGCCGCGUGAGUGAUGAAGGUUUUCGGACUGUAAAGCUCUGUUGUUUAGGACGAAAGUGCCUGUUGCGAACAGUUACAGGUAUUGACGGUACUAAACGAGGAAGCCACGGCUAACUACGUGCCAGCAGCCGCGGUAAUACGUAGGUGGCAAGCGUUGUCCGGAAUUAUUGGGCGUAAAGAGCAUGUAGGCGGAGAUUUACGUCUUUUGUGAAAAUGCGGGGCUCAACCCCGUAUUGUGAUGGAAACUGGGUUUCUUGAGUGCAGGAGAGGAAAGGGGAAUUCCCAGUGUAGCGGUGAAAUGCGUAGAUAUUGGGAGGAACACCAGUGGCGAAGGCGCCUUUCUGGACUGUGUCUGACGCUGAGAUGCGAAAGCCAGGGUAGCGAACGGGAUUAGAAACCCCGGUAGUCC
rnacentral:rRNA from 1 species